rnacentral:misc_RNA from 1 species
UGUAUAUAUGCCUAGCACAACUGUAAAAUUCAUAAAACUGCAUGGAGAUGAGGGCAGAAUGCAAUUCGCAUAAAUGGUGAAAGGUUUAAAUGAGAUGAUAGUCAAGCAAAUCAAAACUUGAAACCUAACACCGAAGAUUUUCCACUGGGAAAACAGAAUGGGCACUUGAUUCAAAAUGGCUACGCGAUUGAAGGUCGAUUCUUCUUCCCAUAGCAGAUGUCUGACAAAACUGCCCAGAUUAAGGCUGCUGCGUGGUUGCUGCUGCAGCUGGCCGAGGGUUCUGCUGAUGUGCGGCUAGCUGAACACUAGGUGGUGGGUGUGCAGUAGCUUGAUAAGGUGGAGGAGGAUAUUGAUGAUAAGGUGGAGGAGGUGGUGGCAUAUAUCCAUAAGCUGGACGAUAAUAAGGUGGGUAAAAUUGACCUGGAGGUGGUGGCCCUCCAGGUGGAUAUGCAUAAUGGUGUCCUUGUUGAUGAUCAGAACCGAUUUUAUUUUCACCAGGACCAGAUCCUGCAGUUGAACUAGAUGCCCCUUCCUGGGAUGCAAUUACGGCACCCAUCCUUUGUGGAUCCAUUGAUGGAUAAUAUGGUCUGUCUUGCUGAGGCAUCGGGGGUAUGUUGAAGUAAGGCAUGGAUGGAGGUUGGUCCUGAGUGCCUGGUGGCUGAAGAGGCUGAUUCUGCUGCUGUGAUACGACUGCUCUAGGCAACAAACCACUGUGAGUUAGAGCAGCCUGCUGUCUUGCUUCAUCAGAGACCUCGGACUCUGGCUUGGGAACUUGAGGUCUCCCCCAGAGUAGCUUCAGUCUCAGGCCCUUUAUCACCAGCUUGUUUGCAAGUUCCUCAGCUGCCUUCACCGCACCUUCUCUAGUCGUGUAAGUUACAAAAGCACAACCACGCUGGACCACCAUUUUAAUGGACUCAAUUUCACCAUGUGCAUAAAAAUGGUCCCUAAGGUCCUGCUCAGUGAUUCUUGCAUCAACACCACCCACAUAGAGGGUUCUAAUGCUCUCGUCAUCAGGGGGCUCCAAUGAAGGCAUUUCACCUGCUUUAUUAAGUAGCUUUAAAGCCACUGGAUCAUUGACUCCAUAGUAACGGUCUUUGAUAUUUUGCUGUGACAAUUCCCCUGUUUCAGGCAUCUCAUGCCGGUAAGGACACUCCAAACCUCUUGUACAUUGACCACGUAUGUAGAAACUGCAAACAUGUGCCCGAUUUCUCUUGUAGUAUGGAGUUGUUCUUUGAAGCUUCAUGAUAGUAUCAUUUGCACGGACUUUUCCAUAUGAAGAUUCAUAAUCAAUCCCUGCUCUUGCCCUGCGGUCAUGCUCCUCUGCAAAAUAUUCUCUAUUAACGUCACUCUUGGGAAUUGCAUCAUUAGAAUUGAUACUGAGAGCAGUGUCUCGGACCUGAACUGGCAAACCAUACUCAAGAUCCAAAAGACAAACUUGACAAACAUUCUUCAACUUGCUGCAGGUCUGACAGAUCUCAGAUUUUUUGUAUCUUGCAUCCCGACCAGGUCUCCAUCGGAACACUGUGAAGGGUCGUGUGCAUAUCUUGCACUCCUUAUCAUAAUCUGCUUUCGUCAUUCGCACAUAGGGACUAUCCCCGAGACAAGACUCACAUAUAAUCGGAAAAUCAGAUCGCUCCCAUCCAUCAGCUUCUGCAUCUCUAAGCAACCUAUGCGCCAUUAAUUACUAUAUUCCUGAGUGAAAUACAGCGACGGAGAUUACGGCGGCGGAAGAAAUAUAGCGGCAACGCUUACGGCGGUGGAGGAGAUACGGCGGCGGAGCAAAAGGGAGGAGAGGAG